ACUAGUUUUGGAAACGAUUUAAAAGUAAGAUAUUAUACGUAGUAAGAAUCGGUUUUAUCUAACUCUGAAAGUGUUCAAAUGAUAUAUUAGUCCUGUCCGGACUGACACAACUCGCGACCGUGGUACAGGUUGAAAAGCCUUAGGCCAUGAUCGAGAGGUAAAGAUACUCGAGAUCGAUUGAUUUGGGCAAACAGAUGCGUUCUGAGAACCUCUAUCGACUGAUUACGGGCGUCAUACGUGAGGCUCCUGUUUUGUUUUAGUUAUAGCACGGUGUGGGGAUGAAGGAGGAAGAGGGAACGUAUGAUGCCCCUAGCUGUGUUUUUGCCUUACUUCACCACUGUUUCAAUGGCAACAUCAUCAGCUCUCUCUUUCUCUUCUCUAUUGGAUCUGGCGUUGCCAAGAAGGUGAAAUCGAGAAGCAGUAAAGUUGAACGUGUUGGGGCCAGAUUUUCGGUUUACUUAGCUGCCGAGCUUGUAGUGAGAAACGACGAGGAGCCAAGCAAGUUUUUUGGUGAUAUGAUGAUUGCAAAGUGAGGAUUAAGGUUCACAAUGAGGUUGGUGUGGUAAAUAUGGAAACAUAUGAAGUUGUAAGUUGCUGAAAGUUUAUAUUUUUUUAUCCAUCUAGUGCGAGUGUGUGUGACUAAUUCUACAUGACGUUAUAUUUCAUCUUUGAUUGCAUGGUAAAGUCACAAAACAGCUCAUCGUUCCACCAUCUCCAUCUUUGACUUGGUUUUCCUAGAAUACAACUUUGCCUAGGAUAUUUAGACAUAAUGACUGCUGUUUUGUGACUUGGUUUUGCCAAGAAACUUGAAGAGUCAAGUCUUUUAUAUCUCCAAGGAGAAUGCUCGUUUGGCUACUCUUCAGGUGCCCAAGCUUUUACACUUUUCUAAUUCUCAAUUAUAUUACUUGAACUGAUGGCAAUAUUAGGCGAUUUUAGCUCUUAAUGUCACUGACAAUUGGAGUUCUGUAGUAAGUGUGAGAGUCUAAUGAUAUAUAUUGUUGCUGCUGGUGAGGUUUCCAUUUUAAAUCCUUUUUAAUUUGAUAGUAUAAUUUUUUGAUGUUUUCUUGAAUUGAAUAGGUUGGUGGUCGAAAAUACAGUGUUUACACUAAGAGGCUAAAAGAUGCAAAAAGACUGAAUCGAUGACAUUAAAAAAGCCAAUGUGUGAAUAUGUUGUGUUAUACCUUUAUUGCAGGUCAUUGUUUAUAAACAUCUUUGUUCUCAUUGUGGUUCUUUGCUCACACAUCUGGUGUUUCAUAUUGGCACAACAUUUCAAGAAGACCGUGAACCUUAAGGUAUUGUGGAUUGCAAGGAUCAGUUCCUGAUUUAAGAAGGAUACAAGCACAAGAAGCCUCACUUGGAAAACAAAUGGAAGAAGCCUUUUUUGCUGGUCCAUUUCAGCCAAACCCAUUUUUUCUUACUUGUGUAAGAGUUACUUCUUGCUGUUUUCUUGAUCAGUGUUCUUUCAUUUUGUCAUCUUUUGUACUUGGGGUUUGUAAUGAAUAUGAUGUUAUGUAAGAUGUGUUUUGUUAAUGUAAUAUGAAUUUUAUGUA